CGUGGGUGAUCUGCCUUUGAGUGGGGGAUACCCUUCCGAAAGGAGGGCUAAUACCGCAUGACAUCCUGUUCUUGGAUGAACGGUGAUCGAAGCUGGGGACCGCAAGGCCUGGCGCUUGAAGAGGAGCCCGCGUCCGAUUAGCUAGUUGGUGGGGUAAUGGCCUACCAAGGCGACGAUCGGUAGCCGGCCUGAGAGGGCGGACGGCCACACUGGGACUGAGACACGGCCCAGACUCCUACGGGAGGCAGCAGUGGGGAAUUGUUCGCAAUGGGCGCAAGCCUGACGACGCAACGCCGCGUGGGGGAUGAAGGUCUUCGGAUUGUAAACCCCUGUUGGGUGGUACGAACACUUUCGUGGUGAAUAUCCAUGGAGGCUGACGGUACCACCUGAGGAAGCCCCGGCUAACUCUGUGCCAGCAGCCGCGGUAAUACAGAGGGGGCAAGCGUUGUUCGGAAUUACUGGGCGUAAAGGGCGCGUAGGCGGCCUGUUAAGUCGGACGUGAAAUCCCUCGGCUCAACC
rnacentral:rRNA from 1 species